UACGUAGGGGGCAAGCGUUGUCCGGAUUUAUUGGACGUAAAGAGCGUGUAGGCGGCCAUACAGGUCAGCUGUGAAAACUCGAGGCUCAACCUCGAGACGUCGGUUGAAACCGUUUGGCUAGAGUCCGGAAGAGGAGAGUGGAAUUCCCGGUGUAGCGGUGAAAUGCGCAGAUAUCGGGAAGAACACCCGUGGCGAAGGCGGCUCUCUGGGACGGUACUGACGCUGAGACGCGAAAGCGUGGGGAGCGAACAGG
rnacentral:rRNA from 1 species